ensembl:snRNA U6 U6 spliceosomal RNA
GUGAAACAGCACGUGUACUAAAAUUGGAACCAUGCAGAGAAGAUCAUCAUGGCCCUGAGCAAGGAUGACAAGCAAAUUUGUGAAGUGUUCCAGUGAUUA